AUCAUUUCAUAUUUAUUUUGUAUAGAGUUAGUUACGAAUUUGAGAUCGCUAAAUAUAUUUUUAUAAAGUUCAUUUUUCUUUCAACAAAAAGUUAUUCUACGAGGUGCAAAUAUGCAAAGCGAGGAGAAACGUUUUUUGAACUUUUUGGAAACAUUCCAGGGCUGCAAUUCGCAUUUAACUGCGGUUCAGGCUGCUAGAAUUGGCAGAGCCGCGUGGGACUCUCUGACGGCCGAAGAAAAAUCGAUUUACCAACCAGUAAGACCGGUAAGACCGGGAAGACCGGUAAGACCAACCGCGAAGAGUCCCGAGAACGUUGUUCCGGAUUGUGGCCCUAGUGCAAAGAAGAAGAAAAAUAAAUGUCUCACGAAGAAGAAGAAGCCUGUAUGUAAGUCAAAGCUAAGCCCUAAGCCAAAAACAAAGCGCAAGGCCGGCAAGAAGCGGAAAAAACGCUUAUGCCAUUAAUAUCAUCAACUCUUUUAGACUGGACAUCAAAAUUAUACUAUUGUGUAAGGUGGAAACUUGAAUCCAGUCUGUAGAACCAGCAACACUUUCCACAUCUCCACACCUGCUAUUCCUAAAUAAUUCUUAACUUGGUUAAGGUCACAACUCUUGAAACUCCAUAUAAUCCUUGCUCCACUCAAAUCCUUUUUAUUCCAAUUCCUUAAAUAAAAUAAGAAGAAGCGAUCCAAAAUACGUAUAUGUACCCAGGUUUGAAUACAUUUUUACGUUAAUGGAUCGAACCAUAAUUAAAUGUGUGGAUCUGUGGUUAUAUUAUCGGUUUUAGUCCUAUGUAAAAAUUAUUACUGUACGAAGCCACUAUUUGGAAACGAAAUUGUCUAUAAGUAAGAAUCUAUCAAAGGCAAUGGAAAAUGAUAAAUUAUUUAGUAGUAUAAAUAUUUGUUUGUAAAUAGAAAU